AGAGGAGGAACAGGGCUUGGCUCUGAGCUUCGGGCUUAUAAGAGAACUGGUGUUGUUACCUGUGGGUGUUGCUAUGGCAGUGAGUGCCCUGCCUGUGCAGCCAGCAGAGUCAUUUCCGGCAGCUCUGUCGUCUUGGGGCUGGGAGGUGGUUUUCUGCCUCUUGCUCACUCACAAACAGGAGGCUCGGUCUCAGCAUGCACCGCAGCUCUCUCGUCCUCACUGCCUUCCUGGGACAACUGCUGGGUGCCAUGGGGCAGACCAUUGUCAGCCAGCAAGAAGGACAAGUCACAGUGCAGGAGAGAAACACCUUCCAGACCACCUGCACAUACCAGGCAACUAACUUUAAUGGUUUGUUUUGGUACCAGCAGAAGAAAGGCCAAGCUCCCCAGCUGGUCACAUAUCAGGCAGCAGCAGGCUCCAAGCAGAACGGCCGUUUCACCACGUGGCUGAACACCACCGGGAAAUACAGCCUGCUGCGGCUGGCAGAAGUCGAGCUGUCUGACAGCGCCCUGUACCUCUGUGCUGUGCAGGACACCCUGGUGCAGGGAGCUUCCUUGGCCGUGCAACAACCCCAGGGAGGGAGGAGGAGUCAUGACAUUGAGGAAUGGCCCUCAUAGCAAGGAAAGAACAACACUGAUGAAACACAUCUUUAGACGGAGGAAGAAAGUGGAUUUGGGAACCGACAGACGAGAUGGAAUCCAUUCAGUCUUUCCUCCACAACGUGCUUCGGAGCAAAUGUCUUCAGAUGCAACUAAGAGACAUCCGAAACAGAGCGAGGCGGUUUGGAGCAGCCCGGGGCGGAGCUGGCG